rnacentral:rRNA from 1 species
AACGAACGCUGGCGGCAGGCUUAACACAUGCAAGUCGAGCGCCCCGCAAGGGGAGCGGCAGACGGGUGAGUAACGCGUGGGAAUCUACCCAUCUCUACGGAAUAACGCAUGGAAACGUUUGCUAAUACCGUAUACGUCCUUCGGGAGAAAGAUUUAUCGGAGAUGGAUGAGCCCGCGUUGGAUUAGCUAGUUGGUGGGGUAAAGGCCUACCAAGGCGACGAUCCAUAGCUGGUCUGAGAGGAUGAUCAGCCACACUGGGACUGAGACACGGCCCAGACUCCGACGGGAGGCAGCAGUGGGGAAUAUUGGACAAUGGGCGCAAGCCUGAUCCAGCCAUGCCGAGUGAGCGAUGAAGGCCCUAGGGUUGUAAAGCUCUUUCACCGGUGAAGAUAAUGACGGUAACCGGAGAAGAAGCCCCGGCUAACUUCGUGCCAGCAGCCGCGGUAACAC